GCCUAGCCGUAACACACUAUAAACGUUCGCCAACCACUACGAGUGAUAACUUAAAACUUAAAAGACUUGACGGUACUUCAUCCAGCCUAGAGGAGCCUGUCUAAUAACCGACAACCCACGAUUAACCCGACCCUUUCUUGCCAACAGUCUAUAUACCGCCGUCGUCAGCCUACCUUGUAAAAGCAAUAAAGUAGGCUCAAUAGCACCACACUAAAACGACAGGUCGAGGUGUAACCCAUGAAAAGGACUAAGAUGGACUACAUUCUCAAGCCGAGAACACGGAUAAUACUAUGAAAAUAGCAUUUGAAGGCGGAUUUAGUAGUAAGAUAAGAAUAAAAUACCUAACUGAACAUAACGCAAUG
rnacentral:rRNA from 1 species